ACACCAAGAGGCUGCUGGGAACCAGCACGGUGACCCUGGCAGUUGGGCACCAGACCCUUCGCUACCAGGUUUCUACAUAGCUCCCCCCUACUUUCUAUACAGCUUGAUAGGAAAAGGACCUGGGUUUUUUGGGUCUGUGGCUCUGGAAUCAAAAGGAUGAUGGCAGCCUUACAGCGGGUCAGCCAAGGGUGAGCAGAACCAGUGGGGGUUCUGGGACUAGCCCAGGGAUCAGACUCACCAACUAUACAAAGAACAUCCCCAGGUUCUUGGGGACACCAGAAAUGGGACAUUUCUCCUAACAAGCAUCAGCAGGACUUCUAAGGCUGUUUACAUGAGACCUCACUGAAAGACCGGGGUGACAACAACGUGUCUCUGAAGGCCUCAUUGAUCAACUACUAAAACCAGACCAGAGUGUCACCAGACGGAGCCAUCUUCCUGGGAGGACAAGUCUCAGACUCUGAACCCUUUUCCCAUAUAGUAAACACAAAACCAACCAGAUAGCACAGAUUCUGAGGCUUUGCCAAGAGGGAAUGCAGGAGGGAGGGAGGGAGGGUGCUGGUGAAGUCAGGCUCAAAGUUCCUCAUGCCUGGCCCUCACUUGAUACCCUUCCUCUCAAUUUCCUUGGUGGACGUGUGGGCUAGAUGGGAUGGGCACCAGCCAGGGGUGGCUAGAGCCCCUACCUGGACAAGUCCUUUUCUGAAGAGGGAGAGUGGCUGUGUGGGCUGAGGAGGGAAAUGCCUCAGGUAGGUACAAACAAACUCAAGAGAAGGGCCUGGAGAGAAUGGGCUUUUAAUACUUCAGAGGGACCUGGCCCUUGUGGUGACAGCUACACUGAGUCCACUUCAAAAGCUCUGAUGCCCUGGGGACUCGAUGCAGGGUUCUGCCCUGUCUUCCCUGCCCAAAUCCCUCAGUUCAGAAGAGGCUCUGGGGCCCCUCUCUUCCCAGGUUCCCCUCUCCCCACCAAGGUGCAGGGACCCACGCAGGAAAAGAAUGUUUAUUCAAAGGCUGACAGUUCAAAAGGAGUGGGGGCUGGGACCCUAAUGGUACAGCACGUUGCUUUCUUUUCCAAAGCUCUGCCCCAGGGAAAGGCGAUCCAUCUGCCUGCAAUGGGUGGAAUGCCUGCUUCAUCCUCUUCCUAGCCAACAGGCUAAGUGAGGGCUUUUCCUGGGGCCCUGGUCUGGCCUGCAAAGGUGGCAGACACUGAUAAUAGCAGGGGGUCAAAGGUUAAACAGCGGAGAUUAGGUGAACACAAAGGCUUGUUAGGAAGUGUUAACAUCUUCUCUGCAAAUAUACACAGAAAGCAGGACCAGGAGAAGCACCGCCCACCCCCAGGAAGGGCCAAUGGAAGAGAAGCAGCCCAGGGCUUGUGCCCCCCCCCCCCCCCCCCCCCCCCCCCCCCCCCCCCCCCCCCCCCCCCGCAACUUCAGGAUCAGAGAACUUAAGGUGUGUGGCUUGCCCCUUCCAGUCUAGGGAAUGGAGGUUGCCAAUGCCUGAGAGGGUUAGCUUUGCAUCUCUGAUGGAUUCUGUUCAUUGGGUGAGGCUAAACAACCUCUCCUAGAGACAGCUGACAUCUAGGGUGCUAGUGAAUAAAGGUCUCCACCUUUCCCUCUGCACACAGCCCCUGCUCACCUGAUCAGACUAGGGUGUGCCACAAUACCUGAACUUGAAUUUUUCGCCAGCAUCUGGAUGAGAGGAAGCCACUGCGCUUCUGGAAAAGUCAGAGUGCCUUCCUGUCCCACUCUACUACCCUGCCCAGUUCCCUGCCACCCCUGGCUCUGUGCAUGGAAAAGGGUACCCGUUAGGCUUGGUGAAAGCCCGUGAAGGAGCUGAGGCAGGGGCAGGCCUGCUGUGGACAGUGGCGUGGUGUCUGCCCCACACUCCUCUAGCAUGUCCACUGUAUUCAGAGAAGUCUCCAGCCAGUCCUGCCCUGAGAGUGGCAGCAGGUAAAGCCCCAAUCUCAGGCACUGGGCAGACUACACAUGGCUUCCUGCUGCCUGUAGAGUCACAAUGAAGACCACACUCAGCUUCUCAGAGCCUGUCAGGCAGUUCUGCGAAUACGGAGUCCUGUCGUCUAGUUAGAGUAUCACCAGUGUCAAGUUAGCCAGGCUCUCUUCAGCGCCCUUGCUUUGGCAGCUUGACCAUGGUACAGGGUGCCUGUAUGUAUGUGAUCCUAAGUUCCUCAAACUGUCGUGAGGUAGUGUAAGCACGCUUCUCACAAGUGAGGAGACCUUGGCCAGAGUCUACUGUUGGCACCUGGCAGGGGCUAGAUCUAAGCCAGAGUCAUCUUAGUCCAGCACACUCGGUCUUUCCACUUCCGGCUGCCAACUUCCAGGCUGAGACAUGGAACCUUCCUUAUACAAACAUGUUUCUCAGGACCAGAUGGCGCCACACCAGGGUCCCAUAGAAAUGGUUUCUUCCUUCCCAAGGUCAAGACUACAGCAAGACACUGGAAUCAACUUCAAGCAAAGUGACUAAACCAGUUCUGCAGGGGCAACAAGCUACUGUGUAGCUCUGGUUGGGAACCUUGUUUUGGAUGCUAAACGAGAGCACACCUCUAGGUGAAGAAAAGCAGAACCCAACAAGAGUGCUCUGGUGGGGGCUCUGCAAAUGCACAGCACUGAGAGAGAAGGGCACACUACUCUCUAUACAGGUCACUGUAUGCUUUUUAUAUGCAUUUCUACAACCAUUAAUAUAUAGGUAAGAAUAUGCUUCAUGUCCCCCUCUGGAUGGUAUCAUGAUCAGGAAAAAGAUUUUAAAAGUGUUCUAAAUGUGAAGUACCCUAAAUGUGAAGUACCGGCAGCGACUGAAUUUCUCCAGGUAGAAGGUAGGAACUCCAUUAGGCACAGGAAAGGACUGGUUAAGUUUGGUGGCCUCUCCAGCCUACUUUCGAAAAUAGGGACCUGCAGGGGGCAGGCUGAGCCUGGUUUAGGACUCAAUUCUAAAGUGAGCACCAAAAUAUCAUUUUCUUUUCCCUCUGUGUGAAGCCCUCCUCCUAGGGUACCACUCCCAUCCUACCAGGCCUCCAAUAGCAUCUCAAAAAUGCCCCCAACCCCUGCCCUUGGGUGCUGGAAUGCUCCACUAGCGAGAGCCCCUGGCCAACAGCGCCACCUAUGGCAUCUAUGUAUACACGUGCAGGGGAUGGGGCCCAGAGGAUCUGCUCACAGAUGAAGAUUUUGGUGAGCUAGCUGGCCCCUCUUCCAGUACGCUCUUGUAAUCACAUUUCUGCCUGAUAUCUGUAUUCCACAGUGACCUCUGGGGGACGGAAAGGAGGCAGCAGCCAGCUCCACAAAGCGCUGAGCUGCAGAUUCAAAUGCUAUCAGAAGCACUUUUGUUCCUAGUUUGGACCCAGGGCUUCGUACGCCAGGGAAUGCUUGCUGAAGCACGGAGUUUGUUUUCCUACAGGCAAUUUCUCUGUUGUCUGAAAUUGCUAAAUUCCACUUUAGGCACUGACUCCUGUUAAUGAUGAGAACAAUAACGGGAAUAAACUGCCUUUUAUCUGA